rnacentral:rRNA from 1 species
UUGUGUACCUACCUCUGUUGCUUUGGCGGGCCGCGGUCCUCCGCGGCCGCCCCCCUCCCCGGGGGGGUGGCCAGCGCCCGCCAGAGGACCAUCAAACUCCAGUCAGUAAACGAUGCAGUCUGAAAAACAUUUAAUAAACUAAAACUUUCAACAACGGAUCUCUUGGUUCUGGCAUCGAUGAAGAACGCAGCGAAAUGCGAUAAGUAAUGUGAAUUGCAGAAUUCAGUGAAUCAUCGAAUCUUUGAACGCACAUUGCGCCCUUUGGUAUUCCGAAGGGCAUGCCUGUUCGAGCGUCAUUACAACCCUCAAGCUCUGCUUGGUAUUGGGCACCGUCCUUUGCGGGCGCGCCUCAAAGACCUCGGCGGUGGCGUCUUGCCUCAAGCGUAGUAGAACAUACAUCUCGCUUCGGAGCGCAGGGCGUCGCCCGCCGGACGAACCUUCUGAACUUUUCUCAAGGUUGACCUCGGAUCAGGUAGGGAUACCCGCUGAACUUAAGCAU